rnacentral:tRNA from 2 species
GCUGCGGUGUCCGAGUGGUUAAGGAGUUGGACUCGAAAUCCAAUGGGCUCUACCCGCACAGGUUCGAAUCCUGUCCGCAGCG